ACCUCGGACCUACCGACUAUAACGGUAGGUAGAGGAGUUUUAGUCGGUAGGUUCGAGGUCUUCUUCCUCGGGAAUCCGACACUACCCAGUCGUACGGACGGCUAGGUGUCUUUUGAAGAUUUUCCCUCUUCCACGAA
rfam:Agrilus planipennis Contig5755, whole genome shotgun sequence.